UAGGGAAUCUUCGGCAAUGGACGGAAGUCUGACCGAGCAACGCUGCGUGAGUGAAGAAGGUUUUCGGAUCGUAAAGCUCUGUUGUAAGAGAAGAACGAGUGUGAGAGUGGAAAGUUCACACUGUGACGGUAUCUUACCAGAAAGGGACGGCUAACUACGUGCCAGCAGCCGCGGUAAUACGUAGGUCCCGAGCGUUGUCCGGAUUUAUUGGGCGUAAAGCGAGCGCAGGCGGUUAGAUAAGUCUGAAGUUAAAGGCUGUGGCUUAACCAUAGUAGGCUUUGGAAACUGUUUAACUUGAGUGCAAGAGGGGAGAGUGGAAUUCCAUGUGUAGCGGUGAAAUGCGUAGAUAUAUGGAGGAACACCGGUGGCGAAAGCGGCUCUCUGGCUUGUAACUGACGCUGAGGCUCGAAAGCGUGGGGAGCAAACAGGAUUAGAUACCCUGGUAGUCCACGCUGUAAACGAUGAGUGCUAGGUGUUAGACCCUUUCCGGGGUUUAGUGCCGUAGCUAACGCAUUAAGCACUCCGCCUGGGGAGUACGACCGCAAGGUUG
rnacentral:rRNA from 1 species